rnacentral:rRNA from 1 species
GAGGCCUACCAUGGUGGUAACGGGUAACGGGGUGUUAGGGCACGACACCGGAGAGGGAGCCUGAGAAACGGCUACCACAUCCAAGGAUGGCAGCAGGCGCGCAAAUUACCCAAUCCCGACACGGGGAGGUAGUGACAAUAAAUAACAAUACGGGGUUCUUUAGGAUCUCGUAAUUGGAAUGAGUACAAUUUAAAUCUCUUAACGAGGAACAAUUGGAGGGCAAGUCUGGUGCCAGCAGCCGCGGUAAUUCCAGCUCCAAUAGCGUAUAUUAAAGUUGUUGCAGUUAAAAAGCUCGUAGUUGAAUUUCGGGGUUAGUAGGUUGGUCAUGCNNNUGAUAUGUACUGGUCUCACUGAUUCCUCCUUCCUUAUGAACCGUAAUGCCAUUAAUUUGGUGUUGCGGGGAAUUUGGACUGUUACUUUGAAAAAAUUAGAGUGUUUAAAGCAAGCUAACGCUUGAAUACAUUAGCAUGGAAUAAUGAAAUAGGACGUUCGAUCUUAUUUUGUUGGUUUCUAGGAUUGACGUAAUGAUUAAUAGGGAUAGUUGGGGGCAUUAGUAUUCAAUUGUCAGAGGUGAAAUUCUUGGAUUUAUUGAAGACUAACUACUGCGAAAGCAUUUGCCAAGGAUGUUUUCAUUAAUCAAGAACGAAAGUUAGGGGAUCGAAGACGAUCAGAUACCGUCGUAGUCUUAACCAUAAACUAUGCCGACUAGGGAUCGGAUGA